ACAGGGGCCGGAAACAGAGAAUGUGUUUUAGCCAUUGUUCCUGUAAGACUCAAGUCCAAGAAAGGCACACGGACAGUGGAGACAUACGCCUUCAUUGACCAAGGUAGUUCCGCAACCUUUUGUACGGAGAAGGUCAUGAGAAUGCUGAACCUAAGAGGCAGGAAGACGGAGAUUUUGCUCCGAACUAUGGGUCAAGAGAAGCUUGUCCAUAGUCAUAUCUUGUCUGACCUGGAAGUCAGUGGCCUAGAAGAGGAAAUGUACAUUGACUUACCUUCAGUGUUCACGCAGCCUGAAAUUCCUGUGAAAAAGGAGAACAUCCCUCAGCAGAUGGACCUGCAGAUAUGGACUUACCUGGAGGAGGUGCGACUUCCAAGUAUCAAGGCUGAGAUAGGCCUGCUGAUAGGUGCUAAUGCUCACAAGGCAAUGGAGCCGUGGCAGGUUAUCAAUAGUCAAGAUGAUGGUCCAUACGCAGUCAGAACAGCGAUUGGAUGGAUUGUGAAUGGUCCCAUCAAGAAUGAAGAUGAACCUCAACACAGUGAAGGAUUGCAGAGUGUCACUGCAAACAGGAUAUCCGUGGCAAGUAUCGAAGAGAUGUUAACACAGCAUUUCAAUUCUGACUUCUCGGAGCGCAGCUGUGAAGACAAAACAGAGAUGUCUCAGGAAGACAGAAAGUUCAUGCAGGAUGUGGAACAAUCUGUUAAGCUGAUUGAUGGACAUUACUGUAUUGGAUUACCCUUUAAGGACAGGUCCAUGAAGAUGCCCAACAAUCGCAAACUGGCAGAACAAAGAGCAAUCAACCUAAAAAGGAAACUCAUCAAGAACAAAGAAUUCUGCAUUGACUACCAGGCCUUCAUGCAUGACGUUAUAGCAAAGGGCUACGCAGAGGAGGUGCCUGCGGAAAGAUGUCAGUGUAGGGAGGGAGAAGUUUGGUACAUCCCGCACCAUGGGGUGUAUCAUCCCAAAAAGAAGAAAAUCAGGGUCGUCUUUGAUUGCACUGCGACUUACCAGGGAGUUUCACUGAACAACCAGUUACUCCAGGGCCCGGAUCUCACUAAUACCUUGAUUGGAGUACUGACAAGGUUUAGAGAGGAGCCAGUUGCAAUGAUGGCCGAUAUAGAGGCAAUGUUUUAUCAAGUCAGGGUACCAGCCAAGGACUCUGACUUCCUCCGUUUCCUCUGGUGGCCAGAAGGAGACUUGACAGAAGAACUGAAGGAGUACAGAAUGACUGUACACAUUUUUGGGGCUACGUCCUCCCCAAGCUGUGCUUGUCUCGCACUAAGAAAGACAGCAGAAGACGGAAGGAAUAAGACGACAGCUGAAGCUGCUAAGACAGUUGAAAGAAAUUUCUACAUGGAUGACUGUUUGACAGCUGUAGCCUCAGAAGAACAGGCAAUAGCGCUUUCACAGUCUCUGAGAGCUCUAUGCAUGAGAGGUGGAUUUAAGCUGACAAAGUGGGUCAGCAAUAGCAGAAGAGUUCUGUCAUGUAUCCCUGCUGACGAGAGAGCGGCGGAGGUGAAGGACCUAGACCUAAGCAAAGAUGCUCUACCUAC
ensembl:lncRNA